rnacentral:rRNA from 1 species
UGGGGAAUAUUGCACAAUGGGCGCAAGCCUGAUGCAGCCAUGCCGCGUGUGUGAAGAAGGCCUUCGGGUUGUAAAGCACUUUCAGCGAGGAGGAAGGUGGUGAACUUAAUACGUUCAUCAAUUGACGUUACUCGCAGAAGAAGCACCGGCUAACUCCGUGCCAGCAGCCGCGGUAAUACGGAGGGUGCAAGCGUUAAUCGGAAUUACUGGGCGUAAAGCGCACGCAGGCGGUUUGUUAAGUCAGAUGUGAAAUCCCCGGGCUCAACCUGGGAACUGCAUUUGAAACUGGCAAGCUAGAGUCUCGUAGAGGGGGGUAGAAUUCCAGGUGGUAGCGGUGAAAUGCGUAGAGAUCUGGAGGAAUACCGGUGGCGAAGGCGGCCCCCUGGACGAAGACUGACCGCUCAGGUGCGAAAGCGUGGGGAGCAAACAGAUUAGAUACCCUGGUAGUCACGCCUGUAAACGAUGUCGAUUUUGGAGGUUGUGCCCUUGAGGCGUGGCUUCCGGAGCUAACGCGUUAAAUCGACCGCCUGGGGAGUACGGCCGCAAGGUUAAAAA